UUACCGAGUUUACAACUCCCAAACCCCUGUGAACAUACCACUUGUUGCCUCGGCGGAUCAGCCCGCUCCCGGUAAAACGGGACGGCCCGCCAGAGGACCCCUAAACUCUGUUUCUAUAUGUAACUUCUGAGUAAAACCAUAAAUAAUUCAAAACUUUCAACAACGGAUCUCUUGGUUCUGGCAUCGAUGAAGAACGCAGCAAAAUGCGAUAAGUAAUGUGAAUUGCAGAAUUCAGUGAAUCAUCGAAUCUUUGAACGCACAUUGCGCCCGCCAGUAUUCUGGCGGGCAUGCCUGUUCGAGCGUCAUUUCAACCCUCAAGCACAGCUUGGUGUUGGGACUCGCGUUAAUUCGCGUUCCUCAAAUUGAUUGGCGGUCACGUCGAGCUUCCAUAGCGUAGUAGUAAAACCCUCGUUACUGGUAAUCGUCGCGGCCACGCCGUUAAACCCCAACUUCUGAAUGUUGACCUCGGAUCAGGUAGGAAUACCCGCUGAACUUAAGCAUAUCAAUAAGCGGAGGAAAAGAAACCAACAGGGAUUGCCCUAGUAACGGCGAGUGAAGCGGCAACAGCUCAAAUUUGAAAUCUGGCUCUCGGGCCCGAGUUGUAAUUUGUAGAGGAUACUUUUGAUGCGGUGCCUUCCGAGUUCCCUGGAACGGGACGCCAUAGAGGGUGAGAGCCCCGUCUGGUUGGAUGCCAAAUCUCUGUAAAGUUCCUUCAACGAGUCGAGUAGUUUGGGAAUGCUGCUCUAAAUGGGAGGUAUAUGUCUUCUAAAGCUAAAUACCGGCCAGAGACCGAUAGCGCACAAGUAGAGUGAUCGAAAGAUGAAAAGCACUUUGAAAAGAGAGUUAAAAAGUACGUGAAAUUGUUGAAAGGGAAGCGUUUAUGACCAGACUUGGGCUUGGUUAAUCAUCUGGGGUUCUCCCCAGUGCACUUUUCCAGUCCAGGCCAGCAUCAGGUUUCCCCGGGGGAUAAAGGCGGCGGGAAUGAGGCUCUCUUCGGGGAGUGUUAUAGCCCACCGUGUAAUACCCUGGGGGGGACUGAGGUCGCGC
rnacentral:rRNA from 1 species